rnacentral:rRNA from 1 species
UACGGGGGGGGCAAGCGUUGUUCGGAAUUACUGGGCGUAAAGCGCGCGUAGGCGGCUCUUCAAGUCGAGUGUGAAAGCUCCAGGCUUAACCUGGGAAUUGCGCUCGAUACUGUUGAGCUAGAGUGUGGAAGGGGCUACUGGAAUUCCGUGUGUAGCGGUGAAGUGCGUAGAUAUACGGAGGAACACCAGCGGCGAAGGCGGGUAGCUGGGCCAACACUGACGUAAAGUGCGAAAAGCUAGGGGAGCAAACGGGG